rnacentral:rRNA from 1 species
GGGGGAUAACAUCCGGAAACGGGUGCUAAUACCGCAUAGUUUCUUGAUUGCAUGAUUGAGAAAGGAAAGACGGCCUUUGUGCUGUCGCUUAUGGAUGGACCCGCGGCGUAUUAGUUAGUGGUGAGGUAACGGCUCACCAAGACGAUGAUACGUAGCCGACCUGAGAGGGUGAUCGGCCACAUUGGGACUGAGACACGGCCCAAACUCCUACGGGAGGCAGCAGUAGGGAAUCUUCCGCAAUGGACGAAAGUCUGACGGAGCAACGCCGCGUGAGUGAAGAAAAGGUUUUCGGAUCGUAAAACUCUGUUGUCAGAGAAGAACAAGUUGGAGAGUAACUGCUCCAGCCUUGACGGUAUCUGACCAGAAAGCCACGGCUAACUACGUGCCAGCCGCGGC